UGUGAGAUGCGUUGAGGCCAUUACCAGGGUACUUAUAAGGUAAUGGCCCUAUUUACUGAACAAAAGCACCUGCUAGAUAAAAUCCUUCAGGCCAGUUGGACUAUCUCUAGACUGAAUAGGUAUAUGUCACAAUGGACUAACUCCAGCACUUCUAGUGUUUUUUGAUUUUGGAAUUUCAGCG